UACGUAGGUGGCAAGCGUUGUCCGGAUUACUGGGCGUAAAGAGCGCGCAGGCGGUCGAUCAAGUCGCGUGUGAAAGCCCCGGCUCAACUGGGAGGGUCACGCGAUACUGAUCGACUCGAAGGCAGGAGAGGGUAGUGGAAUUCCCGGUGUAGUGGUGAAAUGCGUAGAUAUCGGGAGGAACACCAGUCGGCGAAGGCGACUACCUGGCCUGUUCUUGACGCUGAGGCGCGAAAGCUAGGGGAGCAAACGGGG
rnacentral:rRNA from 1 species